UUUUAUGGAGAGUUUGAUCCUGGCUCAGGAUGAACGCUGGCGGCGUGCCUAAUACAUGCAAGUCGAGCGAACGGACGAGAAGCUUGCUUCUCUGAUGUUAGCGGCGGACGGGUGAGUAACACGUGGAUAACCUACCUAUAAGACUGGGAUAACUUCGGGAAACCGUAGCUAAUACCGGAUAAUAUUUUGAACCGCAUGGGUCAAAAGGGAAAGACGGUCUUG
rnacentral:rRNA from 1 species